UUGAACGCUGGCGGCAUGCUUUACACAUGCAAGUCGAACGGCAGCGGGGGCUUCGGCCUGCCGGCGAGUGGCGAACGGGUGAGUAAUGCAUCGGAACGUACCCAGUCGUGGGGGAUAACUACGCGAAAGCGUAGCUAAUACCGCAUACGCCCUGAGGGGGAAAGCGGGGGACCUUCGGGCCUCGCGCGAUUGGAGCGGCUGAUGUCGGAUUAGCUAGUUGGUGGGGUAAAGGCCUACCAAGGCGACGAUCCGUAGCUGGUCUGAGAGGAUGAUCAGCCUCACUGGGACUGAGACACGGCCCAGACUCCUACGGGAGGCAGCAGUGGGGAAUUUUGGACAAUGGGCGCAAGCCUGAUCCAGCCAUGCCGCGUGAGUGAAGAAGGCCUUCGGGUUGUAAAGCUCUUUCGGCCGGGAAGAAAUCGCAUCUCCUAGUACGGGGUGUGGAUGACGGUACCGGAAGAAGAAGCACCGGCUAACUACGU
rnacentral:rRNA from 1 species